rnacentral:rRNA from 1 species
AUUGAACGCUGGCGGCAGGCUUAACACAUGCAAGUCGAGCGGAGAUGAGGUGCUUGCACCUUAUCUUAGCGGCGGACGGGUGAGUAAUGCUUAGGAAUCUGCCUAUUAGUGGGGGACAACAUUCCGAAAGGAAUGCUAAUACCGCAUACGCCCUACGGGGGAAAGCAGGGGAUCUUCGGACUUCGCGCUAAUAGAUGAGCCUAAGUCGGAUUAGCUAGUUGGUGGGGUAAAGGCCUACCAAGGCGACGAUCUGUAGCGGGUCUGGGAGGAUGAUCCGCCACACUGGGACUGAGACACGGCCCAGACUCCUACGGGAGGCAGCAGUGGGGAAUAUUGGACAAUGGGCGGAAGCCUGAUCCAGCCAUGCCGCGUGUGUGAAGAAGGCCUUUUGGUUGUAAAGCACUUUAAGCGAGGAGGAGGCUACCUGGAUUAAUACUCUAGGAUAGUGGACGUUACUCGCAGAAUAAGCACCGGCUAACUCUGUGCCAGCAGCCGCAGUAACAC